rnacentral:rRNA from 1 species
AGAGUUCGAUCCUGGCUCAGGAUGAACGCUGGCGGCGCGCCUAACACAUGCAAGUCGAACGGCACCCACCUCCGGGUGGAAGCGAGUGGCGAACGGCUGAGUAACACGUGGAGAACCUGCCCCCUCCCCCGGGAUAGCCGCCCGAAAGGACGGGUAAUACCGGAUACCCCGGGGUGCCGCAUGGCACCCCGGCUAAAGCCCCGACGGGAGGGGAUGGCUCCGCGGCCCAUCAGGUAGACGGCGGGGUGACGGCCCACCGUGCCGACAACGGGUAGCCGGGUUGAGAGACCGACCGGCCAGAUUGGGACUGAGACACGGCCCAGACUCCUACGGGAGGCAGCAGUGGGGAAUCUUGCGCAAUGGGGGGAACCCUGACGCAGCGACGCCGCGUGCGGGACGGAGGCCUUCGGGUCGUAAACCGCUUUCAGCAGGGAAGAGUCAAGACUGUACCUGCAGAAGAAGCCCCGGCUAACUACGUGCCAGCAGCCGCGGUAAUACGUAGGGGGCGAGCGUUAUCCGGAUUCAUUGGGCGUAAAGCGCGCGUAGGCGGCCCGGCAGGCCGGGGGUCGAAGCGGGGGGCUCAACCCCCCGAAGCCCCCGGAACCUCCGCGGCUUGGGUCCGGUAGGGGAGGGUGGAACACCCGGUGUAGCGGUGGAAUGCGCAGAUAUCGGGUGGAACACCGGUGGCGAAGGCGGCCCUCUGGGCCGAGACCGACGCUGAGGCGCGAAAGCUGGGGGAGCGAACAGGAUUAGAUACCCUGGUAGUCCCAGCCGUAAACGAUGGACGCUAGGUGUGGGGGGACGAUCCCCCCGUGCCGCAGCCAACGCAUUAAGCGUCCCGCCUGGGGAGUACGGCCGCAAGGCUAAAACUCAAAGGAAUUGACGGGGGCCCGCACAAGCAGCGGAGCAUGUGGCUUAAUUCGAAGCAACGCGAAGAACCUUACCAGGGCUUGACAU